CACUGAGAAGAUAGUGGCGAACGGGUGAGUAACACGUGGGUAACCGUGCCCAUAAGAAGGGGGGAUAAACAUCCGGAAACGGGUGCUAAUACCGCAUAGUUUUCUUGAUCGCAUGAUUGAGAAAGGAAAGACGGCCUUUGUGCUGUCGCUUAUGGAUGGACCCGCGGCGUAUUAGUUAGUUGGUGAGGUAACGGCUCACCAAGACGAUGAUACGUAGCCGACCUGAGAGGGUGAUCGGCCACAUUGGGACUGAGACACGGCCCAAACUCCUACGGGAGGCAGCAGUAGGGAAUCUUCCGCAAUGGACGAAAGUCUGACGGAGCAACGCCGCGUGAGUGAAGAAAGGUUUUCGGAUCGUAAAACUCUGUUGUCAGAGAAGAACAAGUUGGAGAGUAACUGCUCCAGCCUUGACGGUAUCUGACCAGAAAGCCACGGCUAACUACGUGCCAGCCGCCGC
rnacentral:rRNA from 1 species